rnacentral:rRNA from 1 species
GGUUAAGCGACUAAGCGUACACGGUGGAUGCCCUGGCAGUCAGAGGCGAUGAAGGACGUGCUAAUCUGCGAAAAGCGCCGGCGAGGUGAUAUGAACCCUUGACCCGGCGAUGUCCGAAUGGGGAAACCCAGUGCAAUCCGUUGCACUAUCGUUAACUGAAUACAUAGGUUAACGAGGCGAACCGGGGGAACUGAAACAUCUAAGUACCCCGAGGAAAAGAAAUCAACCGAGAUUCCCCCAGUAGCGGCGAGCGAACGGGGAGCAGCCCGGAGUCUGAAUCAGCUUGUGUGUUAGUGGAACGGUCUGGAAAGUCCGACGGUACAGGGUGAUAGUCCCGUACACGAAAGCACACAUGCUGUGAACUCGAAGAGUAGGGCGGGACACGUGGUAUCCUGUCUGAAUAUGGGGGGACCAUCCUCCAAGGCUAAAUACUCCUGACUGACCGAUAGUGAACCAGUACCGUGAGGGAAAGGCGAAAAGAACCCCGGCGAGGGGAGUGAAAAAGAACCUGAAACCGUGUACGUACAAGCAGUGGGAGCCUCUUUAUGGGGUGACUGCGUACCUUUUGUAUAAUGGGUCAGCGACUUAUAUUCUGUAGCAAGGUUAACCGUAUAGGGGAGCCGAAGGGAAACCGAGUCUUAACUGGGCGUUAAGUUGCAGGGUAUAGACCCGAAACCCGGUGAUCUAGCCAUGGGCAGGUUGAAGGUUGGGUAACACUAACUGGAGGACCGAACCGACUAAUGUUGAAAAAUUAGCGGAUGACCUGUGGCUGGGGGUGAAAGGCCAAUCAAACCGGGAGAUAGCUGGUUCUCCCCGAAAGCUAUUUAGGUAGCGCCUCGUGAACUCAUCUUCGGGGGUAGAGCACUGUUUCGGCUAGGGGGCCAUCCCGGCUUACCAACCCGAUGCAAACUACGAAUACCGAAGAAUGUUAUCACGGGAGACACACGGCGGGUGCUAACGUCCGUCGUGAAGAGGGAAACAACCCAGACCGCCAGCUAAGGUCCCAAAGUCAUGGUUAAGUGGGAAACGAUGUGGGAAGGCACAGACAGCCAGGAUGUUGGCUUAGAAGCAGCCAUCAUUUAAAGAAAGCGUAAUAGCUCACUGGUCGAGUCGGCCUGCGCGGAAGAUGUAACGGGGCUAAACCAUGCACCGAAGCUGCGGCAGCGACACUAUGUGUUGUUGGGUAGGGGAGCGUUCUGUAAGCCGUCGAAGGUGUGCUGUGAGGCAUGCUGGAGGUAUCAGAAGUGCGAAUGCUGACAUAAGUAACGAUAAAGCGGGUGAAAAGCCCGCUCGCCGGAAGACCAAGGGUUCCUGUCCAACGUUAAUCGGGGCAGGGUGAGUCGACCCCUAAGGCGAGGCCGAAAGGCGUAGUCGAUGGGAAACAGGUUAAUAUUCCUGUACUUGGUGUUACUGCGAAGGGGGGACGGAGAAGGCUAUGUCAGCCGGGCGACGGUUGUCCCGGUUUAAGCAUGUAGGCGGAGGUUCCAGGUAAAUCCGGUACCUUAUUAACGCUGAGGUGUGAUGACGAGGCACUACGGUGCUGAAGUGAUAAAUGCCCUGCUUCCAGGAAAAGCCUCUAAGCAUCAGGUAACACGAAAUCGUACCCCAAACCGACACAGGUGGUCAGGUAGAGAAUACCAAGGCGCUUGAGAGAACUCGGGUGAAGGAACUAGGCAAAAUGGUGCCGUAACUUCGGGAGAAGGCACGCUGAUAUGUAGGUGAAGCCCCUGCGGGCGGAGCUGAAAUCAGUCGAAGAUACCAGCUGGCUGCAACUGUUUAUUAAAAACACAGCACUGUGCAAACACGAAAGUGGACGUAUACGGUGUGACGCCUGCCCGGUGCCGGAAGGUUAAUUGAUGGGGUUAGCGGCAACGCGAAGCUCUUGAUCGAAGCCCCGGUAAACGGCGGCCGUAACUAUAACGGUCCUAAGGUAGCGAAAUUCCUUGUCGGGUAAGUUCCGACCUGCACGAAUGGCGUAAUGAUGGCCAGGCUGUCUCCACCCGAGACUCAGUGAAAUUGAACUCGCUGUGAAGAUGCAGUGUACCCGCGGCAAGACGGAAAGACCCCGUGAACCUUUACUAUAGCUUGACACUGAACACUGGUCCUUGAUGUGUAGGAUAGGUGGGAGGCUUUGAAGCGUGGACGCCAGUCUGCGUGGAGCCAACCUUGAAAUACCACCCUUUAAUGGCUGGUGUUCUAACGUGGACCCGUAAUCCGGGUUGCGGACAGUGUCUGGUGGGUAGUUUGACUGGGGCGGUCUCCUCCCAAAGAGUAACGGAGGAGCACGAAGGUUGGCUAAUCCUGGUCGGACAUCAGGAGGUUAGUGCAAUGGCAUAAGCCAGCUUGACUGCGAGCGUGACGGCGCGAGCAGGUGCGAAAGCAGGUCAUAGUGAUCCGGUGGUUCUGAAUGGAAGGGCCAUCGCUCAACGGAUAAAAGGUACUCCGGGGAUAACAGGCUGAUACCGCCCAAGAGUUCAUAUCGACGGCGGUGUUUGGCACCUCGAUGUCGGCUCAUCACAUCCUGGGGCUGAAGUAGGUCCCAAGGGUAUGGCUGUUCGCCAUUUAAAGUGGUACGCGAGCUGGGUUUAGAACGUCGUGAGACAGUUCGGUCCCUAUCUGCCGUGGGCGCUGGAGAAUUGAGGGGGGCUGCUCCUAGUACGAGAGGACCGGAGUGGACGCAUCACUGGUGUUCGGGUUGUCAUGCCAAUGGCACUGCCCGGUAGCUAAAUGCGGAAGAGAUAAGUGCUGAAAGCAUCUAAGCACGAAACUUGCCCCGAGAUGAGUUCUCCCUGAGACUUUAAGUCUCCUGAAGGAACGUUGAAGACGACGACGUUGAUAGGUCGGGUGUGUAAGCGCAGCGAUGCGUUGAGCUAACCGAUACUAAUGAACCGUGAGGCUUAACCUU